rnacentral:lncRNA from 1 species
AUCCUUAUUUCUCUUAUUUAUAUCUGUAACCGCCGCUAACUAGCCAACAACCCUAAUCAAUCCUAACUAUUCUAGCUUCUGUUUACUCUAUAUGCUAACAUUGUAACAUCCUAUAUUAAUUUCUACAAUAUUAUUACAGGAUGUUACGUCCGAUACUGGAUCACAUGAAAUAAUCCAAACUAUUAUUACAAUGGAUACAUCUAUGUUAUAUCUAUAUACAAAAUAUUUUACAAUUGUAAACUAUAACUAAAAUUCUUCGUGCCAAGGCUUCUGCCCAUGUUGCACCUGUCUUAUCUAAAAAAAGUAACGGGUGUGGGACGAGAUAAAAUCUCAGUGAGUUCAUAACUACCCUCAACCCCCUCUAACCCGAAUACCCGGAUUUUCUAACUGUCUAUAAUCAGAUAAAAUAAAAUAAGAUAAACAGUUCAUUUCUAUUCAACGAUAACAAAUAAAUAAAAGUUGAACACACAAGUAUUAAACUGAGUGUGAGCGUUCUCAGAAGCCUUGCCUAUCCGGAUGGAAAUAUCAUCACAGACAUCUACUCACAAUUUCUUAUUACUUCUCUGCACUUGUGCACUUUUCACACUUGUGCCUGUAUCAUAACUGAAACUUCUCUAGAUCAAUAAACCACUGAUCUCAACAUAUAUUAUAUUCAUAAUAUUAUGUCAUUCCUUCUAACCAUACAUGUUCAUUUUUCUUAUCUUUCUAUUAAUUAUAAAUUGAAAGGAAACUAUGCUC